GAUGAACGCUGGCGGCGUGCCUAAUACAUGCAAGUCGAGCGAAUGGAUUAAGAGCUUGCUCUUAUGAAGUUAGCGGCGGACGGGUGAGUAACACGUGGGUAACCUGCCCAUAAGACUGGGAUAACUCCGGGAAACCGGGGCUAAUACCGGAUAACAUUUUGAACCGCAUGGUUCGAAAUUGAAAGGCGGCUUCGGCUGUCACUUAUGGAUGGACCCGCGUCGCAUUAGCUAGUUGGUGAGGUAACGGCUCACCAAGGCAACGAUGCGUAGCCGACCUGAGAGGGUGAUCGGCCACAACGGGACGGGGACACGGCCCAGACUCCUACGGGAGGCAGCAGUAGGGAAUCUUCCGCAAUGGACGAAAGUCUGACGGAGCAACGCCGCGUGAGUGAUGAAGGCUCUCGGGUCGUAAAACUCUGUUGUUAGGGAAGAACAAGUGCUAGUUGAAUAAGCUGGCACCUUGACGGUACCUAACCAGAAAGCCACGGCUAACUACGUGCCAGCCGCCGCGUAUA
rnacentral:rRNA from 1 species